GAUAAGUACACAUGACAAUCUUUCAACAUAAGCUUCGUAGAGAUUAGUUUGAAGGAGUACUUCAUUGCAAGUUUGAUACUUCCUCCGGUUCCAAAUACUUGCCGCAAUGGCAUUUUUCUGAAAACCCCCUCCACAGUUGUCCGACAUAACCCGCACUCCUCGAUUCCCCUCCGACACCACACUCUGCUCCAUCUCCAUUUUCUCUCUGCCUGCUCGCCGGCCAGGCCACGCCGCCACGCCGCGUAGCUCAACGCCGCCACGCCGCCGCGUCGCGCCGCUCCACGCUGUCGCGCCAUGCAGCUCCCCCGAGCCUCCUCCCGGUGCUCUCCCCCGUGCAGCUCCCCUGUUCUUUCCUCCGGACCUAAAAAUCACUUAUUUCCAUAUCGAUCUGUAGGGCAUGGGGACGAGGGCGGCGACGAGCGCGCCUGUUGCCACGGUGAGCUCAAUACUCUUCGGCAGAUCCCUUCCCCAAACUCUGCUCCUGACGACAGCUCAUUGCUGGGGCUUCCCCCCAUGGAUGAGGAGGAGGACGACGAGUGCUGCCUGGCGGAGUUCUUCCGGCUGCUUCCUGGAGCGGUCCAGGGAGAUGGGAAGCUCUCCUAAUUGCUGGUGCGGCAGUUCUGCCCGAUGGACUUCAUCCAGCCGUCCUGGGCUGCAUUAGCUGGUGGUGGCAUGGCUUCAUCGAGCGGAGCUACAAGUACAGAGAGCAGCACACAGUCAGUCAUGGCAACGAACUGAACGAGCUCUUGUCGACAGCGGCCGUGCAACACGCCGGCGGCUUAUCCUCGCCCCACCAGCUGCCACAGCAGCUACCCAUCCAGCUGUUCUGUGACACCGCACAGUCAGUCAUGGCCUCACUCACAGUCUGAAGGAUGGGAAACGUGAUCUAUGGUCAUGAGCCAUGCAGAUUGAUCCUCUUGAGGGCAUGGAUGUGAAGAUCGAUAUGUGAUGUACAAGUGUCGCAACGAUUUUGGUGGUACUGCUUGGUACUGCAAGUUGGAUUAUGUGAUGUAAGAAAUUGUAAUUUGUCGACAUGCUAUUAGUUAAUACUAAUAUUUUCUCCAUGGUAA